rfam:Leersia perrieri chromosome 12, whole genome shotgun sequence.
AGGAGCUGGAUGAGAAGAAACUCUCAUGUCCAGUUUUGCAAUAGAGAUGUAACUAAGAGAGAACCUUCGACUAUAAC